AAAACAUUUCUUUUUGAAAUUACAAAAAGUAAACCCUGCUCACUGAUCCUUAAAUAGCCGCAGAAUUUUUACUGUGCUAAGGUAGCAUAAUAAUUUGCCUUUUAAUUAAAGGCUAGAAUGAAGGGGAUUACAAAGAAAAUACUGUCUCAUAAAUUUACUUUAAAAUUUCCCGUAUAGUAAAAACGCUAUUACAAAUAAAUAGGACGACAAGACCCUAACAAACUUAACUAAAGUUAAACUGGGGCGGUAAAAAAAAACAAAAUCUUUUAAUUUAACUAGCUAAUUAAAAUACCAAGUUACUGUAGGGAUAACAGCAUUAUUUUUUUUUAGAGCUCAUAUCAGAAAAAAAGAUUGUGACCUCGAUGUUGAAUUAAAGUAUCUAAUAAAUGCAAAAAUUUAUAAAGUAAGUCUGUUCGACUUUUAAAACUUUACAUGAUCU
rnacentral:rRNA from 1 species